rnacentral:rRNA from 1 species
CCUACGGGAGGCAGCAGUGGGGAAUAUUGGACAAUGGGGGAAACCCUGAUCCAGCGACGCCGCGUGAGUGAAGAAGUAUUUCGGUACGUAAAGCUCUAUCAGCAGGAAAGAAAAUGACGGUACCUGCCUAAGAAGCCCCGGCUAACUACGUGCCAGCAGCCGCGGUAAUACGUAGGGGGCAAGCGUUAUCCGGAUUUACUGGGUGGAAAGGGAGCGUAGACGGCAGCGCAAGUCUGGAGUGAAAUGCCGGGGCCCAACCCCGGAACUGCUCUGGAAACUGUGAAGCUGGAGUGCAGGAGAGGUAAGCGGAAUUCCUGGUGUAGCGGUGAAAUGCGUAGAUAGCAGGAGGAACACCGGCGGCGAAGGCGGCUUACUGGACUGUAACUGACGUUGAGGCUCGAAGGCGUGGGGAGCAAACAGGAUUAGAUACCCGGGUAGUC